UUCUGGGGCAAGCGAACCGUUUUUCCUCCGCUACCCUCUCACCCACCGACACCUCCACCGUCCGCUCCCGCGCCUGGAUCCCGCGACGGCGCCGCCGGCUCCCGUCCACCGUCCGCAGAUCCCAUCGCCGGCUCCCGUCCGCGUCCUGCAAAUCCCGCCGCCGCCACUCGGUUCGCCCUGCCCGUGUCCUGCAAAUCCUGCCGCUGCCGCCCGAUUCGCUGUGCCCGCCUCCCUGCCGCAGCCGGGCUUGGCCCCCACCGCCGGCCGCCCCUGCCUACCAUCCUCCAACCGUCGCCGCGCCCCUGGGCUUGGCCCCCUGCUGGCCGCCCCAGCCCGCCUCCCUGUUCAGGUGAAUCCAUGUGAAGGCGAAUCAAUGUUCUCUAUGAUUUGAUUUGCUGAUAUUUUCCUGGCUGCCAUGAGGAGAUUUGAGUGUGAUGUAGAACCCAAUAAUUGUUUGGUUUUUGAAGAUGCACCAUUGGGUGUUGCAGCAGCAAAAACUGCUGGAAUGCAUGUAGUGAUGGUCCCAGAUGCAAGGUUGGAUGUUUCACAUCACAAAGAAGCUGACCAAGUUCACAGUGAUGUGGGUCUGUCCUGGUGUGAUGUAGCGUCUGAUGUAACCUCAGCGUCUGAUGUAACCUCUAAUUAUCAUCAGCAAUGGAAACUUAAUUAUCUGAUAUUGGAUCUGUGCUCUCCAGUUUAUGUUUUUUUGUCCUGGAUCUCGUUCAGUACAUGAGGCCUUCUUUAAUCGGAUGCUAACGUUUCUGUUUA